CAGGUGGCGCACGGGAGCCCGUACAGCGGGCUGAGAGGGGAUCCGCACAGAUCCCGACCGUCGAACCUGAUCCGGGUCAUGCCGGCGCAGGGAGCGGAGAUGAUGUCGAA
rnacentral:ncRNA from 2 species